GAUGAACGCUAGCGACAGGCCUAACACAUGCAAGUCGAGGGGCAGCACAAGGAGCAAUCUGAGGUGGCGACCGGCGCACGGGUGAGUAACACGUAUGCAACCUGCCUGUAAGCGGGGGAUAACCCGUUGAAGACGGACUAAUACCGCAUAAUACUGGAGAUCUGCAUGGAUAUUCAGUUAAACAUUUAUGGCUUACAGAUGGGCAUGCGCAUGAUUAGAUAGUUGGAGAGGUAACGGCUCCCCAAGUCAACGAUCAUUAGGGGUUCUGAGAGGAAGGUCCCCCACACUGGUACUGAGACACGGACCAGACUCCUACGGGAGGGCAGCAGUGAGGAAUAUUGGUCAAUGGGCGAGAGCCUGAACCAGCCAAGUCGCGUGCAGGAAGAAUGUCCUAUGGAUUGUAAACCUGCUUUUGUCAGGGGAAUAAAAGUGAGCCACGUGUGGUUUUUUGUUAUGUACUCUGCGAAUAAGGAUCGGCUAA
rnacentral:rRNA from 1 species